rnacentral:rRNA from 1 species
GGCGUGGUUGGUUGGUCCGCCUAACGGUGUGUACUGAUCGGCCGCGCCUUUCCUUCUGGGAAACCAAGUUGCUCUUUACUGAGUGACUUGGCGAUCCAGGACUUUUACCUUGAAAAAAUUAGAGUGUUCAAAGCAGGCUUUCGCUUGAAUACAUUAGCAUGGAAUAAUAAAAUAGGACUU